rnacentral:rRNA from 1 species
AGUGAACGCUGGCGGUAGGCCUAACACAUGCAAGUCGAACGGCAGCACAGUAAGAGCUUGCUCUUACGGGUGGCGAGUGGCGGACGGGUGAGGAAUACAUCGGAAUCUACUUUUUCGUGGGGGAUAACGUAGGGAAACUUACGCUAAUACCGCAUACGACCUACGGGUGAAAGCAGGGGAUCUUCGGACCUUGCGCGAUUGAAUGAGCCGAUGUCGGAUUAGCUAGUUGGCGGGGUAAAGGCCCACCAAGGCGACGAUCCGUAGCUGGUCUGAGAGGAUGAUCGGCCACACUGGAACUGAGACACGGUCCAGACUCCUACGGGAGGCAGCAGUGGGGAAUAUUGGACAAUGGGCGCAAGCCUGAUCCAGCCAUACCGCGUGUGUUAAGAAGGCCUUCGGGUUGUAAAGCCCUUUUGUUGGGAAAGAAAAGCAGCAGGUUAAUACCCCGCUGUUCUGACGGUACCCAAAGAAUAAGCACCGGCUAACUUCGUG